rnacentral:rRNA from 1 species
AUUGAACGCUGGCGGCAUGCCUUACACAUGCAAGUCGAACGGUAACAGGUCUUCGGACGCUGACGAGUGGCGAACGGGUGAGUAAUACAUCGGAACGUGCCCAGUCGUGGGGGAUAACUACUCGAAAGAGUAGGUAAUAACGCAUACGAUAUGAGGAUGAAUUCGGGGGACCUCCGGGCCUCGCGCGAUUGGGGCGGCGGAUGGCAAAUUAGGUAGUUGGUGGGAUAAAAGCUUACCAAGCCGACGAUCUGUAGCUGGUCUGAGAGGACGACCAGCCACACUGGGACUGAGACACGGCCCAGACUCCUACGGGAGGCAGCAGUGGGGAAUUUUGGACAAUGGGCGAAAGCCUGAUCCAGCAAUGCCGCGUGCAGGAUGAAGGCCUUCGGGUUGUAAACUGCUUUUGUACGGAACGAAAAAGUCUCCUCUAAUACAGGAGGCCCAUGACGGUACCGUAAGAAUAAGCACCGGCUAACUACGUGCCAGCCGCCGCCGUAACAC